GGGUUGUGAGGUUAAGCGACUAAGCGUACACGGUGGAUGCCCUGGCAGUCAGAGGCGAUGAAGGACGUGCUAAUCUGCGAUAAGCGUCGGUAAGGUGAUAUGAACCGUUAUAACCGGCGAUUUCCGAAUGGGGAAACCCAGUGUGUUUCGACACACUAUCAUUAACUGAAUCCAUAGGUUAAUGAGGCGAACCGGGGGAACUGAAACAUCUAAGUACCCCGAGGAAAAGAAAUCAACCGAGAUUCCCCCAGUAGCGGCGAGCGAACGGGGAGGAGCCCAGAGCCUGAAUCAGUGUGUGUGUUAGUGGAAGCGUCUGGAAAGGCGCGCGAUACAGGGUGACAGCCCCGUACACAAAAAUGCACAUGCUGUGAGCUCGAUGAGUAGGGCGGGACACGUGGUAUCCUGUCUGAAUAUGGGGGGACCAUCCUCCAAGGCUAAAUACUCCUGACUGACCGAUAGUGAACCAGUACCGUGAGGGAAAGGCGAAAAGAACCCCGGCGAGGGGAGUGAAAAAGAACCUGAAACCGUGUACGUACAAGCAGUGGGAGCACGCUUAGGCGUGUGACUGCGUACCUUUUGUAUAAUGGGUCAGCGACUUAUAUUCUGUAGCAAGGUUAACCGAAUAGGGGAGCCGAAGGGAAACCGAGUCUUAACUGGGCGUUAAGUUGCAGGGUAUAGACCCGAAACCCGGUGAUCUAGCCAUGGGCAGGUUGAAGGUUGGGUAACACUAACUGGAGGACCGAACCGACUAAUGUUGAAAAAUUAGCGGAUGACUUGUGGCUGGGGGUGAAAGGCCAAUCAAACCGGGAGAUAGCUGGUUCUCCCCGAAAGCUAUUUAGGUAGCGCCUCGUGAAUUCAUCUCCGGGGGUAGAGCACUGUUUCGGCAAGGGGGUCAUCCCGACUUACCAACCCGAUGCAAACUGCGAAUACCGGAGAAUGUUAUCACGGGAGACACACGGCGGGUGCUAACGUCCGUCGUGAAGAGGGAAACAACCCAGACCGCCAGCUAAGGUCCCAAAGUCAUGGUUAAGUGGGAAACGAUGUGGGAAGGCCCAGACAGCCAGGAUGUUGGCUUAGAAGCAGCCAUCAUUUAAAGAAAGCGUAAUAGCUCACUGGUCGAGUCGGCCUGCGCGGAAGAUGUAACGGGGCUAAACCAUGCACCGAAGCUGCGGCAGCGACGCUUAUGCGUUGUUGGGUAGGGGAGCGUUCUGUAAGCCUGUGAAGGUGUGCUGUGAGGCAUGCUGGAGGUAUCAGAAGUGCGAAUGCUGACAUAAGUAACGAUAAAGCGGGUGAAAAGCCCGCUCGCCGGAAGACCAAGGGUUCCUGUCCAACGUUAAUCGGGGCAGGGUGAGUCGACCCCUAAGGCGAGGCCGAAAGGCGUAGUCGAUGGGAAACAGGUUAAUAUUCCUGUACUUGGUGUUACUGCGAAGGGGGGACGGAGAAGGCUAUGUUGGCCGGGCGACGGUUGUCCCGGUUUAAGCGUGUAGGCUGGUUUUCCAGGCAAAUCCGGAAAAUCAAGGCUGAGGCGUGAUGACGAGGCACUACGGUGCUGAAGCAACAAAUGCCCUGCUUCCAGGAAAAGCCUCUAAGCAUCAGGUAACAUCAAAUCGUACCCCAAACCGACACAGGUGGUCAGGUAGAGAAUACCAAGGCGCUUGAGAGAACUCGGGUGAAGGAACUAGGCAAAAUGGUGCCGUAACUUCGGGAGAAGGCACGCUGAUAUGUAGGUGAAGCGACUUGCUCGUGGAGCUGAAAUCAGUCGAAGAUACCAGCUGGCUGCAACUGUUUAUUAAAAACACAGCACUGUGCAAACACGAAAGUGGACGUAUACGGUGUGACGCCUGCCCGGUGCCGGAAGGUUAAUUGAUGGGGUCAGCGCAAGCGAAGCUCUUGAUCGAAGCCCCGGUAAACGGCGGCCGUAACUAUAACGGUCCUAAGGUAGCGAAAUUCCUUGUCGGGUAAGUUCCGACCUGCACGAAUGGCGUAAUGAUGGCCAGGCUGUCUCCACCCGAGACUCAGUGAAAUUGAACUCGCUGUGAAGAUGCAGUGUACCCGCGGCAAGACGGAAAGACCCCGUGAACCUUUACUAUAGCUUGACACUGAACAUUGAGCCUUGAUGUGUAGGAUAGGUGGGAGGCUUAGAAGUGUGGACGCCAGUCUGCAUGGAGCCGACCUUGAAAUACCACCCUUUAAUGUUUGAUGUUCUAACGUUGACCCGUAAUCCGGGUUGCGGACAGUGUCUGGUGGGUAGUUUGACUGGGGCGGUCUCCUCCUAAAGAGUAACGGAGGAGCACGAAGGUUGGCUAAUCCUGGUCGGACAUCAGGAGGUUAGUGCAAUGGCAUAAGCCAGCUUGACUGCGAGCGUGACGGCGCGAGCAGGUGCGAAAGCAGGUCAUAGUGAUCCGGUGGUUCUGAAUGGAAGGGCCAUCGCUCAACGGAUAAAAGGUACUCCGGGGAUAACAGGCUGAUACCGCCCAAGAGUUCAUAUCGACGGCGGUGUUUGGCACCUCGAUGUCGGCUCAUCACAUCCUGGGGCUGAAGUAGGUCCCAAGGGUAUGGCUGUUCGCCAUUUAAAGUGGUACGCGAGCUGGGUUUAGAACGUCGUGAGACAGUUCGGUCCCUAUCUGCCGUGGGCGCUGGAGAACUGAGGGGGGCUGCUCCUAGUACGAGAGGACCGGAGUGGACGCAUCACUGGUGUUCGGGUUGUCAUGCCAAUGGCACUGCCCGGUAGCUAAAUGCGGAAGAGAUAAGUGCUGAAAGCAUCUAAGCACGAAACUUGCCCCGAGAUGAGUUCUCCCUGACUCCUUGAGAGUCCUGAAGGAACGUUGAAGACGACGACGUUGAUAGGCCGGGUGUGUAAGCGCAGCGAUGCGUUGAGCUAACCGGUACUAAUGAACCGUGAGGCUUAACCUUACAACGCCGAAGCUGUU
rnacentral:rRNA from 1 species